CAGAACGUAAACAACUGUUCAUUAACAUACGAAACCAAAUUGAGCAAUACGUUGGUUUGGCGUUGUGGCGGAUUAUAUACCAACUGGAAAGUUGAAUCUAAUGCUCAGUCGAAAACGAGUAUUUGCGUUGGACAGACACGCGUUAAACAUUUGUUUUGAAAUAUUUUGCAACUAUGAUUCGAGAGACAGUAAUUGUAUUGGGCAUUUUGGUGCUAUUGCAACCGAGUGAUGCUAUUAGAUGCUAUGAAUGUUCCUCAUUGAUCAGCCCAAGUUGUUCUGAUGGAUUCAGCAACAGUUCCACCCGCUCGAUCGAUUGUGCGCAACAACAAGUAUACGAUAUAACGCCCAUCGAAUACUGUCGAAAGAUUAAAUACAAAGAUGGUGAUCGAUGGGUGUACCUUCGUGGUUGUAACAUCAAAGAUAAUUUGCAAAUAAAGAAUGCGCAAUACCAUUUCUGCAACACAAACCUGUGCAAUUCGGCCGACAGUCAUCGACCAGCAGCCAUGCUUGUCAUGCUAUUGUUUACAUCGUUUUUAUUCAUUAAAUUAUUGCGUUUAUAAAGUUGUGCGCAACUGUGAAUCAGAAUAUAAUUUUAGUUGAUAGCGUUUUGUGUUGUUACCAGGAACAAAAAAAAAAGAAUCAAAAGAAUUAAAGACGAAAAUCAAACUUGGGCGUAUUAAUUUGCAUAAAUCCAUUCUAUUCGACAAACAUCUCGCUCUUGUCGGACAGACCAAUGCAAGUUAGCUUGAUUUGAUCGUGUGCGUUGACGUAAUUUUGUAUUCUUAUGCGAUCGUGCUGGUUCGCACAACACUUACGUAACAUCAUCUCGGUUCUCUUUCUCAUUCAUAACUUUGGUCUGCGUAUAAUUUGUUUACACGCUGCUGGAAAUGUACUCUGCUGUAGCUGGACGGACAGUUCUUCAAGGUUAAAGAGAGCAUUUGAACACACACACAAAAAAAUACACAAAAAAAGAGAAACACAGAACCGGUCGGUAACAUUUAAUCGUAUAGAUAUCUAUUAUACGCCGCUUUGAGAUCGUUGGAAGUGUGAUUUAAGAACAAGUUUCAACUUUUUUCUUUCGUAAAGUGUAUUUUUUUUGCGAUUCAGAUUGUGGUUGUUUAAAAAGCCGAAUAAGAUUAAUGGGUUGUUAGCAUCAUACUUUAUUUGGAAAAUAUUCUGUCCGUCUUUUUAAAGUAAAGAACAGAAUAAUGAAUGGUAGAAAAUCGGUUGUGGUCGAUUUUCGGUGAUAUUCCAAAAAUUAUAAUGAAACAACAAUAGGCGUGUGGCUAAUGGAUUCAAGUCGAAUUCGGUGGAUUAUAUCACUUUAGAUGACAUUCGAUUUGGUUCGACGCGACAAAUGAUUUUCAGCAAUUUAUACACAAAGUAAUAAAUCAACUCACAGAACGUGAUCAAACUGAUUCCGAGCGUCAAAUUCAAAAUGCCACCAAGAUUUGCUGGAACAAAUCGAACAAUAGCUGUCAUUCAUUCGUCACAAAAUGAAACAUAGCCAACAAUUAAGAUAUGUAUUUUGUUUCUCAUCGACGCAUACUUACACAGCAAAUCGAUCCAAUUGUAUCGAGCAUGUCGUUCAUAUACCAUCACCGUUUGUGAAUAUAAUUGCUGUAAAUGGGCGCUCGCUUUCGUUUAUGUUCUUGCUGUAAACGAAACAACCGAUAGUUUAAUUGAAUGAUUUUUGUUUCCUAAUUAACCUCUGACUAACUAAAUGUCUAGAGUGCCUUUCGAUGACUUGUACUCGAAAACGCUCGUAGAGCUUGUGAUGCGAAACUUCAACCAAUCACACAUUGGCAAACAGUGAUCACAUGAAACAUCCCAUAUGCCUAAAUUUGGAUAAAUCACAUUAGCAUAAUGAUGAUUUCCGUUGCUAUAUUUCAUUUUACCUGCUUUGUAUCGGAUACACAAAAAAUCCGUUACGGUAAAACUUCGAAUUGAUUUAUGUUCUGGUUUGAUGGUCGGUAGGUGAUAUGGAUGGCAAUUGCAUUUUUCGUGCACAUUUUUUGCAGCACACACAAGCAAGCAACGUGUUCGAAAGACCAGAGAUGACUCACCAUCGGAGACUAAAAAACAACGGCGAAGAUGUACCGGGAGAUUAACAUAAUGGGAUGAGUAAAUGUUAUGGGUAACAUAAAAACGAAAAUAGUUCUCGAAUCCAGAGAAGAAAAUAUUCAUACCACCGAAUUUGCCCGCUUGAUUCAACACACUGGCAUUUACUUUAGCAAAUGGAUGAUAGUUAAAGGUACAACACAUCCCAUGGAUCGUCGCUAAUCUCUCCCAACCAGGACAAUUUCCAGGGCGACAAUCAUACAUCUCUGUACCAUAACGAUAUUUUUGCAUAAAAUCAGCACAAUCCUAAGAAGAAAAAAAAUCAUUGAUUUCGGUUUUUUUACAGAUGUACAUCUGAAAUGAUUUAAAGUUUCAUCAUUCACCAUGCCUACGUGGUUUAAGAUAUCUGACAACGAGAAAUUAUUGAUCUCUGAAAAUUGUUCUAAGACUUGGACAUUUUCAGCAGAUACCGAGUAAGUGUUUCGCGUAAAUCCAGUUAGCGACUUCAGUGCAUCUUCGGUGUUUAUUCGAGUGAAUUUUGAUGGAAUUUUUCUAAAAAAAAAUCUUAUUAAAUUUUAAAAUAGGAAACUUAUUCUGAGGAAUGAAUGAAAAUUAUGAAAAUUUUAUGAACAAAAACGAAAUGGAAACUCUUUUGCUAUGGAUUGCUUACGAUUUUCCAACCAGACGUGUAAUUUUUGAAUGAAGAACUGGAUCUUUUGGACAUAUAGUAACCGAUGGAAAGUUAGUUUGCGUUGUAAAAAUUUGCUUUCCCCGUGUAAUUAGUGUUGAAUUAUCAAAAUACACGUCAGCGAGCAGAAAUGGAUCAAUACACCAGCAAAGGCCAACAAUACCAACGGAACAAAAAUCCAAAACACUCUGCAAUUUUAAGAAGUUCAACUAAUUUUUCUUAAGAAAUGUUUCAAAUAGUAAAUUUGUUCGCCAAAAAAACGGUAGUUAUCGUUUACCUUAUUUUGCCGAAUGUUUUAUGCUUUCGUAAGUAGUAGAAUCCAUUCAAUUUCGUUGCUUCACAAAAUGAAUAAAAAAGCCGUAAGAUUUU